rnacentral:rRNA from 1 species
UACGGAGGGGGCUAGCGUUGUUCGGAAUUACUGGGCGUAAAGCGCACGUAGGCGGCUUUGUAAGUUAGAGGUGAAAAGCCCCGGGGGCUCAACUCCGGAAUUGCCUUUAAGACUGCAUCGCUAGAAUUGUGGAGAGGUAAGUGGAAUUCCGAGUGUAGAGGUGAAAUUCGUAGAUAUUCGGAAGAACACCAGUGGGCGAAGGCGACUUACUGGACACAUAUUGACGCUGAGGUGCGAAAGCGUGGGGAGCGAACAGG